rnacentral:rRNA from 1 species
UAAAGAUAUUAAGGGCAUACGGUGGAUGCCUUGGCACAAGAAGUCGAUGAAGGACGUGACAAGCUGCGAUAAGCUGCGGUGAGCUGCACAUAGGCGUUAUUAACCGCAGAUUUCCGAAUGGGGCAACCCGGAUGAGGUAAUGCUCAUCCACUUCCAUCUGAAUCAAAUAGGAUGGCUAGAGACAACCCGGAGAACUGAAACAUCUAAGUACCCGGAGGAAAAGAAAUCAACCGAGAUUGCGCUAGUAGCGGCGAGCGAACGCGCAGAUAGCCUAAACCCAUGCAUGUGUAAGUUUCAGGACGUUGCUGCAUGUGGUGUCGUGGGGUCGUCUUUGUGGGAGCCUGUACCUCCCAUGCGCAGUUACAAAAUCCAUUCAUAGUCGAAGUGGUCUGGAAAGUCCUACCAGAGAAGGUAAUAGUCCUGUAAGCGAAAUGAAUGGGUCUGCGUCGAGAUGAUACCCGAGUAAUGCCGGACACGUGAAAUCCGGUAUGAAUCCAGGGAGACCACUCUCUAAGGCUAAAUACUCUCUUGUGACCGAUAGCGAACCAGUACCGUGAGGGAAAGGUGAAAAGUACCCCGAGAGGGGAGUGAAAUAGUACCUGAAACCGUAUGCCUACAAGCAGUCGGAGCGCUCUUGCAGCGUGACGGCGUGCCUUUUGUAGAAUGAGCCAGCGAGUUACGAUGUGCGGCGAGGUUAAGUUUUGAAACGAGCCGUAGUGAAAGCGAGCCUUUAAGAUGGCGUCAUAGUCGUAUGUCGUAGACGCGAAGCCGGGUGAUCUAUCCAUGGGCAGGCUGAAGCAGAGGUAAGACUCUGUGGAGGGCCGAACCCACUUCGGUUGAAAACGGAGGGGAUGACCCCAGGAUAGGGGUGAAAGGCCAAUCAAACCCGGAGAUAUCUCGUUCUCCCCGAAAUAGCUUUAGGGCUAGCCUCGAAUCGUUUACUUACGGUGGUAGAGCCACUGGAUUCGUGCGGGGGCUUCACCGCCUACCAACCGAAACCAAACUCCGAAUGCCGUAAGUCUAUAGAUCGGGAGUCAGAACAUGUGGGCUAAGCCGUGUGUUCGAGAGGGAAACAGCCCAGACCGCCUGCUAAGGUCCCUAAAUUCAUGCUAAGUGGCAAAGGAUGUGCGUUUGCCUAGACAACCAGGAUGUUGGCUUAGAAGCAGCCAUGCAUUUAAAGAGUGCGUAACAGCUCACUGGUCAAGUGGACAUGCGCCGACAAUUCACGGGGCUCAAGCAUGAUACCGAAGCAGCGGACUGAUAUUUUUCAGUGGUAGGGGAGCUUUCUUAUCUGGGUCGAAGCUGUGUGGCAACGCAUGGUGGACUGGUAAGAAGUGAGAAUGCUGGCAUGAGUAACGAGAGUGAGGCGAGAAACCUCACCGCCGUAAGCCUAAGGGUUCCUGGGCAAGGCUAAUCCUCCCAGGGUCAGUCGGGAGCUAAGACGAGGCCGACAGGCGUAGUCGAUGCACAACAGGUUGAUAUUCCUGUACCACCACGAAUCGUUAUGACGAUGGGGUGACGGAGAAGGAUAGCUGGGCGGGGUUCUGGACGUCCCCGUGAAAGCGUGUAGGGUGCGCAUGCAGGUAAAUCCGCAAGCGCUUAUGCCUGAGACGUGAGACGAAGCUCUAAGUGAAGUCAGUGAUUCCCUGCUUCCAAGAAAAACCUCUAAGCAGAUAUCGUGGUGCCCGUACCAAAACCGACACAGGUAGGCGGGUAGAGUAUACCAAGGCGAUCGGGAGAACUAUGGUUAAGGAACUCGGCAUAAUGACUCCGUAACUUCGGGAGAAGGAGUGCCGCUCAUGGGUGAUAGGGCAUGCCCCUAAAAGCCUAGGGCGGUCGCAGUGAAACGGCCCAAGCGACUGUUUAUCAAAAACACAGGACUCUGCUAAGUCGCAAGACGAUGUAUAGGGUCUGACGCCUGCCCGGUGCUGGAAGGUUACGUGGAUGGGUUAGCCUUUUUGGGCGAAGCUCUGAAACUAAGCCCCAGUAAACGGCGGCCGUAACUAUAACGGUCCUAAGGUAGCGAAAUUCCUUGUCGGGUAAGUUCCGACCUGCACGAAUGGCGUAACGAUUUGGGCGCUGUCUCAACCAUAGACCCGGUGAAAUUGUAUUAUUCGUGAAGAUGCGAAUUACCCACGGAAGGACGGAAAGACCCCGUGAACCUUCACUACAGCUUGACAUUGAUCAUUGGUUCUGUGUGUAGAGGAUAGGUGGGAGACC